rnacentral:rRNA from 1 species
UUCGGUGGUCAUAGCGGUGGGGAAACGCCCGGUCACAUUCCGAACCCGGAAGCUAAGCCCUCCAGCGCCGAUGGUACUGCCUCCGGGAGGGGGUGGGAGAGUAGGACACCGCCGGACUCAACGUGAAAG